rnacentral:rRNA from 1 species
AUUGAACGCUGGCGGCAGGCCUAACACAUGCAAGUCGAGCGGAGCGGCGGACGCGUGCGUAAUGCCUAGGAAUCUGCCUGGUAGUGGGGGAUAACGUCCGGAAAUGGGCGCUAAUACCGCAUACUAUCAGAUGAGCCUUGGUCGGGUUAGCUGGUUGGUGGGGUAAAGGCCUACCAGGGCGACGAUCCGUAACUGGUCCGAGAGGAUGAUCAGUAACACUGGAACGGAGAAACGGUCAAGACUCCUACGGGAGGCAGCAGUGGGGAAUAUUGGAAAAGGGGCGAAGGCCGGAUCCAGACAUGCGGCGGGUGUGAAGAAGGUCUUCGGAUGGUAAAGCACUUUAAGUGGGGAGGCGGUACCAAAAGAGUAAGCAACGGCUAACUACGUGCCAGCAGCCGCGGUAAUAC